rnacentral:tRNA from 1 species
GCCCUGAAUAAAAGGAUAGCUCAGUUGGUUAGAGCACAGUGCUGACAACGCCAAGUUUGCAGGUUCAAUCCCUGUAUGGGACA